rnacentral:rRNA from 1 species
CCUACGGGUGGCAGCAGUGGGGAAUAUUGGACAAUGGGCGCAAGCCUGAUCCAGCCAUGCCGCGUGAGUGAUGAAGGCCUUAGGGUUGUAAAGCUCUUUCACCGGAGAAGAUAAUGACGGUAUCCGGAGAAGAAGCCCCGGCUAACUUCGUGCCAGCAGCCGCGGUAAUACGAAGGGGGCUAGCGUUGUUCGGAAUUACUGGGCGUAAAGCGCACGUAGGCGGACUUUUAAGUCAGGGGUGAAAUCCCGGGGCUCAACCUCGGAACUGCCUUUGAUACUGGAAGUCUUGAGUAUGGAAGAGGUAAGUGGAAUUGCGAGUGUAGAGGUGAAAUUCGUAGAUAUUCGCAGGAACACCAGUGGCGAAGGCGGCUUACUGGUCCAUUACUGACGCUGAGGUGCGAAAGCGUGGGGAGCAAACAGGAUUAGAUACCCGAGUAGUC